rnacentral:rRNA from 1 species
AUUGAACGCUGGCGGCAUGCCUUACACAUGCAAAUCGAACGGUAACGGGCCUUCGGGUGCCGACGAGUGGCGCACGGGUGCGUAAUACAUCGGAACGUGCCCGAUCGUGGGGGAUAACGAGGCGAAAGCUUUGCUAAUACCGCAUACGAUCUACGGAUGAAAGCCGGGGACCGCAAGGCCUUGCGCGGACGGAGCGGCCGAUGGCAGAUUAGGUAGUUGGUGGGAUAAAAGCUUACCAAGCCGACGAUCUGUAGCUGGUCUGAGAGGAUGAUCAGCCACACUGGGACUGAGACACGGCCCAGACUCCUACGGGAGGCAGCAGUGGGGAAUUUUGGACAAUGGGCGCAAGCCUGAUCCAGCCAUGCCGCGUGCAGGAUGAAGGCCUUCGGGUUGUAAACUGAUUUUGUACGGAACGAAAAGCCUUCUUUUAAUACAGGAGGGUCAUGACGGUACCGUAAGAAUAAGCACCGGCUAACUACGUG